rnacentral:rRNA from 1 species
AGUGAACGUUGGCGGCGUGCCUAACACAUGCAAGUCGAGCGCGUUCCGGGGGCAACCCUGGGAUGAGCGGCGAACGGGUGAGUAACACGUGGGUAAUCUCCCCCCGAGUGAGGAAUAAGCCCCCGAAAGGGGGUCUAAUACUGCAUAACACCCAGGGGCAUAAGCUCCCUGGGUCAAAGCCGUAAGGCGCUUGGGGAUGAGCCUGCGUCCUAUUAGCUAGUUGGUAGGGUAACGGCCUACCAAGGUGAUAAUGGGUAGCCGGCCUGAGAGGGUGAUCGGCCACACUGGGACUGAGACGCGGCCCAGACUCCUACGGGAGGCAGCAGUGAGGAAUUUUGCGCAAUGGGCGAAAGCCUGACGCAGCGACGCCGCGUGGAGGAUGAAGGCCUUCGGGUCGUAAACUCCUGUCAGAGGUGAAGAAUCCCCGCAAGGGGUUGACGGUAACCUCAAAGGAAGCCCCGGCCAACUACGUGCCAGCCGCCGCGGUAAAAC